rnacentral:tRNA from 1 species
GGUAGUUGGCUCAGUGGUAGAGCACUUGCCUUGCAUGCAUGAGGCCCUGGGUUCGAUUCCUCAGCACCA